AUUGAACGCUGGCGGCAGGCCUAAAACAUGCAAGUCGAGCGAGCGGCGGACGGGGGCGUAAUGUCUGGGAAACCGCCUGAUGGAGGGGGAUCACCACUGGAAACGGCAGCUAAAACGGCAUAAAAUCAGAUGUGCCCAGACGUGACUAGCUAGUAGGUGGGGUAACGGCCCACUUAGGCGACGAUCCCUAGCUGGUCUGAGAGGUUGACCAGCCACACUGGAACUGAGACACGGUCCAGACUCCUACGGGAGGCAGCAGUGGGGAAUAUUGCACAAUGGGCGCAAGCCUGAUGCAGCCAUGCCGCGUGUGUGAAGAAGGCCUUCGGGUUGUAAAGCACUUUCAGCGGGGAGGCGUUACCCGCAGAAGAAGCACCGGCUAACUCCGUGCCAGCAGCCGCGGUAAUUC
rnacentral:rRNA from 1 species